rnacentral:tRNA from 1 species
GCCGGGCUGGCGCAAUGGUAGCGCGCAAGACUUCUAUAAAUAGAACAAAAUCCGAGUCCCUGGUUGCGUGCACUGAGCUCACGCUGUGGGCAUGCAGACAGUUGGACUCGGUUGAAAUAGCACAGAAGUGUAUCUUGAGGCUGCGGGUUCGACCCCCGCGUCUGGCU